GUUAGAUUCUCUUAAUCUUCUAAUCUUUAAGAGAUGACUAUAAUUGUAUUGUUGGGUGUAUUACUUCUUGAAUUUUUUCCUCCUAAUAAAACACCAGCCCCAUGAAGAUAACGCAAUUGAGUUGUUUAUUGUAUUUGGGAAAUAUUAUUUAAACCAUGUGACGUAUGCCAAAGAUUUUGAGUGUACUUAUAUAAAGGAUGUGGGCUCUCGUUCUUUUUAUUGUCUUUAACAUUAAGUUUUAAACCUAAACCUUCAUUGGUUGGAAGGUUGCCAAUUGUGUAAUUUGUCACUGGUCUAACAUUAACAGCAGGUUUAAACAUGCAGUGCAAUAGAAAGUGCCAGGUCCUUUGCCGUAUCUGUGGAUACCAAAAACAGCAAAACUCGUUUACAAUCCCAGAGCAACAAAGUGCCAAAAACACUCUUGUUGUGCAACUUUUCCAAGUUUUAUCUUUGUAAACUUUG
rnacentral:lncRNA from 1 species